GCAGUUCUUGCCUGGUUUACCAUUGAAACUAAGCAGGGUUGAGCCUGGCCAGUACCUGGAUGGGAGACCUCCUGGGGAAAACUAAGAUUGCU
rnacentral:rRNA from 1 species